rnacentral:rRNA from 1 species
UACGGGGGGGGCAAGCGUUGUUCGGAAUCACUGGGCGUAAAGGGCGUGUAGGCGGUCCGCUAAGUCUGAUGUGAAAGCCCGGGGCUCACCCCCGGAAGGGCAUUGGAAACUGGCAGACUCGAGUCCCGGAGAGGAAGGUGGAAUUCCUGGUGUAGCGGUGAAAUGCGUAGAUAUCAGGAGGAAUACCGGUGGCGAAGGCGGCCUUCUGGACGGUGACUGACGCUGAGACGCGAAAGCGUGGGGAGCAAACAGG